UUAUAUGGUCAAGGCGGAAUAAGCGCAUAUGGUGGGAUGCCUAGGCAGUUGG
rnacentral:rRNA from 1 species